rnacentral:misc_RNA from 1 species
CCUUGGCUCGGAUUUUGGCCAACCSUUGCGGUAACACACGGGAGACCAGCUUCCGUCCAUGAUCCUURUAGGAAUGAUGGACGACGAUUUGUGACACCCAGGCAGACGUGCCCUCGGCCAAAAGGCUUAGGGCGCAACUUGCGUUCAAAGACUCUHGGUUCACGGGAUUCUGCAAUUCACACCAAGUAUCGCAUUUCKCUACGUUCUUCAUCGAUGCGAUAGCCGAGAUAUCAAUUGCCGAGAGUCGUUUUAUACUUUAAGUUGAUUCAAUGCAUUCGCACACCGACCAUCUCUGGAGCGGCGAAUGCAAGCUGUUUAKUUGCAUGUUCCUUGACACUUUUCGUGCCGUGGUUUUGUGAAAUCCGGAAGASACAUGCNCGUCAAGUGGRUCASACCUGAUUAGGCCGUGCAUGAAACCACKGA